AUGAAAAGGUUGAUUUUAAUCUCAGUUAUGCAUCUCCCGUGUCUCUUUUAUGCUCAUUGUUGCUACAUGCUUGCUUCAGAGAGGACUAUGUUAGUUUACUUCCCACUGAUGUUGUAUAUAGUUGCAUGUUUUCUUAGACUAUUUUAUUUGACCUACAGAAAUGUUCCCUUGCUUUGGUUGGAUGGGUGUAGAAGCAGCAAGCAUCGCCGCCACACGGAAAACUCCAGUAACUUCUUGUCCCUUCCAGCCUCGGAUCACGAACGACUUCAAGCUGAAGAUGUUGAACCAUGCGAUGCAAGAAUUAUUAUUUUGGGCUCCUAUGGAAGGUAUUAUUCUCGUGCAAAACCCUAUUCUCCCGUCUUUCUUGAUCUAUUAGGGUCAUAA
rnacentral:rRNA from 1 species